GAGAGAGAGAGAGAGAGAUGGGAAAGUCAAUUCUGAUAAACGUUCUUGAUAUCCUUAAAAAUAUUCGUAUUAUCUGACGAGCCUAGCAGGGGUCACCUUUCUUCGAGCGUAACGUUCCAAUCCUUUACGAGAGAUCAAUCGUUUUAUUUUUCGACCGAUGAAGGCCGACGAACAAAUCGUUUUUGAAUCAUUUCCUGAAAGUUCGAGAUCAUCGAUCGAGAGUUCGUCGAGAUGGAAAACAACGACUAAUUAAAGGUCUUUUAAACUGCUUUAUCCUGUCGAUAAAAAAGUGAAUUUAUCCGUCGAGCAUGGAUUCCACGUUUUCGUUGACAUGUUUUCUCCGAUAGAUGGCAAAGCUUGAAAACGUUCUAUUAGCGUUAUCUUGGAACCUCUGGCAAUAUAAAUUAUUUUACGAUAAACGAUAUAUGCAUUUAAUUAGUACUACAAUUAAUGCAUUGAAUUUUUUUGGAUAACCGAUGGAUCGAGAUCAAAGGAUCUUCUUUACCGGCGAAAAAGAUCGAGGAUUGAUCCUUUUAAUAAAUUGAUGGUAUUCAUAUUAAUUUUUCAUGUCAAUCAAUUUUUAAGAUGAGUCAAAGAACAAGAGAAUUGUAAUAGUAAACGCUUCAUCGACUGUAAGGAAAUUCUUUCAAUACGUUACUGGGGAAAAUGUUACCCAGUCAUAAUCGAUAUGCAAUGGAAACAUCAUCGUAAAACGAUUGUAAAC